rnacentral:lncRNA from 1 species
CUUUAAAAUCUUUUUUUUUCAUGAUUGUUCACUUAAAGUUAGUUUUUCCAUUAAUGAAGCUGUUCAAUAAAUAUGGUUCAUUUACAAUGAGUUAGGACAAAAGAGUAAGUGGUUUAAAAGCCCAGAGGAGAAGAAGACUAUGAUUUCUCCUGGUUCAAGUGUCUGUGAAGGUGAUGUGGGACUAAAGCCUAAACCUGGAUGGUGGAAGGUGGAGGAGGGGCCGUCAGCAGCUCAGGAUUGUGAGGUGUGGAGUCCUCCGGCCAGCUCAGCUGCCAGGUCUCCAGUGGAAUUUCCUCUGGAGAGUCACAGGGGGUGAGGAUGGAGCAUCCUGGGAGUGUGAGCCCUGUUCUACAAGCCUGAGAAGCUUUAGAAGGCUUCUGAACACAGAAGGGAAGCAAGGACUGCUCUUUAGAGGGCUUGCCCUGCAGAGGGAAGGGGUGAAGGGGUUUGGUGGUGGGAAGAAGCCUGAGGCAAGAGGCAAAGAGAUGGGUUAGGAGGCAGGGCCAUUACUCUGCUCAGGGGGCAAUGAAAACUCCCCUGACAGAGUGGUAGAAGAGAGAGGAAUUUUAUAAAAAUUUGAUGCACUUAGAGAUUUUAUACUGCAAUUAAAACAAUUAAUAUCCAGGUUGCUAAUGAUAUUGUAUCUUUUUAAAAUGUAAUGCUUUUCAAGACACAUGAAUUGUGAUUGUACAAUCAACCUUAAUUGGUGCAUUAAAAUGAUUAAACAUUGCAAUUAAAUUACAGAAAAUUUAACUUUAUGUAUUUUUACACUAUAGAGAAUGACAGUUUUUAUAAUACCUUAUUAUACCAACUUGUGGAAGUGAAAAAUUUUUAUUGAAAUUAUAAAUUAUACUGGUUCACUGUAUAAUUCCUACUUUCAUUUCAUUUCAAUUCUCUAUCAUAUAAUAUGAUAUUCUUUAAUAGUCGACUUAACAGAUGUGAUAUUUUUUGGCAUCUUUCUGAGAACAAAGAUUUCUGAGAAAAAAAUGGUGCAGAAUACAUUCUGUCCCUUCUGUCUGAUUCUACCAAGAGUCCCUGAUGAAUAUCUCUCUUGUCCAGUUAUGUAAAUAGUUUUCACAGUUUGAUGAUUUAUUUAUUUGCUAAUGCAGUAUCUUUGAAUUUCAUGGUCUGUGGGUUUCAGCAGAGUGAGCCAGCCACCAAAGAAUAAGUUGGAGUGUGUGUGUGUGUGUGUGUGUGUGUGUAUGUAUGGGGGGGGAGAGAGAGAGAGAGAGAGAAACAGAGAUAGAGAGACACUUCCACUGAUUUAGUGUUUAUUUCUUUUAUACAGUGGGUCAGGAGUGAGUUUUGAUUCAAUAUAAUAAUUCUAAAAAAUGCUGACAUUAGUAAUAUUUAUAACAUGGAUAGAGAACAGUUUGUGGCAGAACAGAAAUCAGUCAAGAAAUAACAGCCACCCUGAGUCUCAUGUAUUUGAGGGUAGGAAGGAUGGAAAACGGACUGAGGUAACUCGCAGGCCGUUGAACUUGCCUUGACAACAUAAAGAUGACAGCAAGAUGUCAAGGAGAAAGCCAGUUCUGACACUGAGGGGCCACCAGCCUUCAGUGACAGGGGCUUUGGAUGGUUUGUGGUGGCUCCCCAGGACAUUCUGUCUACACUGCCCUGGGGUAUAGAUAGAGAACACCUUGCUUUCCAUUAUUCUGAGAGACCGCAGAAAUACUAUGUGGGUGACCUGGGAACAGAGGCAGAAAGCAAGACUUCAGUGUUACUCUGGGCAAACAGAGACUUGGCCACUGGGCUGGGUAUUUAUAAUUUGCUUUAGGAUAUGUGUUGGGUCUUAAAGACCCUGCACUUUUGAACAACAAACUUACACAUUAAAUGCUCAUCCAACUGGGUGAACAUCUUGAGGACUUGCUAUAAAGGCUAAGUAUGGGUCAGGAAUAAAAGAUAAGGCUUUGGUGCCAAGACCAAAGGUUAGCCCAGCGAAUCUACCUCUAGCCCUUGGGUGGGAGCAGUAGAGCUGCCCUGGGGUCAACUGGGAGCCUUCAGUUUAAAAGACUCCAGUCUUUACCAAUUUUCUCUUUGAAUUCUUCCAACAUGAGUAAUAUUGGUGUUGUUUUCCCAAGGAGACCCUUAUUGCCAGACUUCUCAAAACUUUGUUAGCAUUUGGUUAAUUGGCUUUAUAUCUUUUUCUCUUCUUUUAAAUUCAGUGUUACCUUUUAGCAGAAUUUUUCUGUGCCGAUACAGCUGAUUCUACAUAUUAUUGAUAUCCACAUUACUAAUUUUCUGAAUGAAGCUUUUGCCAUAUUCAUUGUUAAUUUCAAAAAUUGUUAUAAUCCCAAACAAAUAUAUUUAUUCCUUUAAUAUAAAAACUUUAACAUUGAACAUACAAAUUGAUGCCAUUCAAUUAAACCUUAAUUUGGUCAUCCACUGAUACAGGGUCGCUUACAGUUUUAAAAGUGAAGUACAUUUCUAAGUAGAUAAAUAUCCAUGUGCUGAUAUUCAGUGUAUCAUAUAUAAUGUGACUGAAUAUGUUUCAAAAAUUCUUAUUUUAAAAAAUUGCAGUGACAAAAUCGCAACCGGGUCCUUUGAUAAGACUUGUAAACUGUGGAGUGCAGAAACAGGAAAAUGUUACCAUACUUUUAGGGGGCACACAGCAGAAAUAGUGAGUAUAUUUAACAUUUUGAAAUAUAUUUUAUGUUGCU